AUUAAACGCUGGCGGCAUGCCUUACACAUGCAAGUCGAACGGCAGCGUGGGUGCUUGCACCUGAUGGCGAGUGGCGGACGGGUGAGUAAUACAUCGGAACGUACCUUGGAGUGGGGGAUAACGUAGCGAAAGUUACGCUAAUACCGCAUAUUCUGUGAGCAGGAAAGCAGGGGAUCGCAAGACCUUGCGCUCUGGGAGCGGCCGAUGUCGGAUUAGCUAGUUGGUGGGGUAAAGGCCUACCAAGGCGACGAUCCGUAGCGGGUCUGAGAGGAUGAUCCGCCACACUGGGACUGAGACACGGCCCAGACUCCUACGGGAGGCAGCAGUGGGGAAUUUUGGACAAUGGGCGGAAGCCUGAUCCAGCCAUGCCGCGUGAGUGAAGAAGGCC
rnacentral:rRNA from 1 species